rnacentral:rRNA from 1 species
UACGGGGGGGGCAAGCGUUGUUCGGAAUUACUGGGCGUAAAGGGCUCGUAGGCGGCCAACUAAGUCAGACGUGAAAUCCCUCGGCUUAACCGGGGAACUGCGUCUGAUACUGGAUGGCUUGAGAUUGGGAGAGGGAUGCGGAAUUCCAGGUGUAGCGGUGAAAUGCGUAGAUAUCUGGAGGAACACCGGUGGCGAAGGCGGCAUCCUGGACCAACACUGACGCUGAGUGAGCGAAAGCCAGGGGGAGCAAACGGG